AGAUGUGCAUGUGGGAACUGAACCUGGGCAUUCAUUCUCUAAGAGUAAUAUUAUGGACUUUGAACUGAUGAGCCAUCUCUCCAGAUCCUUUUUAAGGAUAAAUAGUUCUUAAGACCAGCUGAAAGGCUGGAUUUUUCCAUAGCAAAGAGACAUCUGACCAGAGAUUAGUCCUUGUUUUCUACUUUGGAUUGAUGAUAGAAAGCACACAUAAUAUAAAACAGGGCCACUUUUAAGUAACGCAGAUUUUUUUUAAUUGGUUAUUUUAUUUACAUUUCAAAUGCCCCCUUCCUAGUUUCCCCUCUGCACCCCACCCCAUCCAGUCCCCCCAAAGCAGCAGAUCUUAAUUCUGCAGUUUCCAUAUUCUGGUGUAGGGCAUGAAUUUAAGGCCCGUGUGCCCUCAGCAUGUACCAGGGCUUCACACUCCAGUGGACUGGUGACUCAGCUCCUACCAACUCCUUUGUGUAAUUGUGAUGUUGCUGAGUUUGGUUGGUAGUGUGAUGAUUUUAAGUUGUUUUUUUCCUACCACACAGCAAUAGCCAAACAAUUUUCUUGUUUACAUAUGACCUUUAAGAGUCUCAGCGUCAGGACUGGGCAGAUGAUUCAGUGGUAAAGUAUUUGCCAUGCAAGCAGGAAGACCUGGAUCCUCAUAGAAAGAAGGCAGGCAACAUCAGAUGGCCUCCAUGUGUGCUGACGCACACCCUCACACACAUGAACAUGCCUUCACAUACUUUAUUUUUCCUUUAUUUCUAGGAUUUUUUUCUUCAAUAUGACUAGUUUUUAGUAUUAUCCCAACUCCCAAAAUGCUCUCCUCAGCCAUCUCUGUGACCUCUAAAAUGGUCCUUUUUCUGAGGCUAAGAUGAAUGUCUUUAGUGUGACACUAUAUCUCACCUAUGUCUCAGGACCUUUCUUCCAGUCUUUCCUGUGCAGUUAAGAACCAUAGCUUUCUAGUGGUGGUGGGAGUAGAACCCAGACUUAUUUGAGCCACAUCCCAGCCUGAGGCAUAAAUUUCUAACCACCUCUAAGUCACCUCAACCAAACCACUAAGACCUUUCUAUGGAGGUUUUAGGAAGCACCCUUUAGCACACUGGUGUUCUUGGGGGUGGGCUGGGGUGUGGUGCGUGUAGUGCUGUUGAUGCCACAACUUGGUAGAUGAGGCCAGGUCGAUUGAUGCCAUCAGGGCUUUGAAGUAUAUUUUAUUCGUUUUCUUGCUAACUGCUAUUACAAUGGGUAUUAAUAACUUGGAAGUAUUUUAAUAGAGCUAGUGGGAAGAUGCAUGGAGCAGCAGUAUUGCCAAUAGAGCCCAUGCCCAUUGGUGCCUGUGUAGGCAAGAGUCCUGCAGACUCAUCCCUCUUGUUGACUCACUUGGUUUUAUUUCAUUCAUCCAUUUAUCCAUUUGUUCAUUCAUUCAUUUAUUUAUUUCUGAGGCAGUCUCACACAGUUCAAGCUGUCCAUCUUGCUAUGUAGCAAAGGGUGACCUUGAAGCCCUGACCAUCCUACCUCCAUCUGCCAGAGACAGGGAUCACAUGCAUGCCCCACCACACACUGUUUUGAGACAGGAUCUCAUUACUUAGUGCAGGUUGACUCCCAGCUCAAAAUUCCCAUCUCCUCGUUACUUCAGUUUGAAAAGUAAGUAUCUUUGAGGAUUGCAUAUGUUUUAAUCAUAUGCACUAACUUUCCCCCUUAACUACUUCCCUGAUCUGCUUCUACCUCCCUACCCCCAGCAAUAAACUUUAAUAAUCCAUU
rnacentral:lncRNA from 1 species